rnacentral:sRNA from 22 species
GUCAACUGCCACCACCCUAAAGGGUAGUAGCUUGUAAAAGCUAGUUGAAUAGCCUAAGUUUACACUACGUUAUGUAAGAAUAUAUAGGUACUUUAGGAUACUUCUCUAGUCCUAAACUCUACG